rnacentral:rRNA from 1 species
AUGAACGCUGGCGGCGUGCCUAAUACAUGCAAGUCGAACGAGAUGCUUUUGUAGCAAUACGAGAGUAUUCUAGUGGCGAACGGGUGAGUAACGCGUUGGUGACCUACCCCAAAGUGUGGGAUAACAGUCCGAAAGGAUUGCUAAUACCGCAUGUGGUCUUCGGAUUUAGAAACUGAUGACUAAAGGAGCAGUUCGCUUUGGGAGGGACCUGCGUCCCAUCAGCUAGUUGUGAGGUAACGGCUCACCAAGGCGACGACGGGUAGGGGACCUGAGAGGGUGGCCCCCCACAAUGGAACUGAAACACGGUCCAUACACCUACGGGUGGCAGCAGUAGGGAAUAUUGCUCAAUGGGCGAAAGCCUGAAGCAGCAACGCCGCGUGUGCGAUGAAGGCCUUCGGGUCGUAAAGCACUUUUCUGAGAGAUGAGAAAGGACAGUAUCUCAGGAAUAAGUCUCGGCUAACUACGUGCCAGCAGCCGCGGUAAACGUAGGAGGCAAGCGUUAUCCGGAUUCACUGGGCGUAAAGCGCGUGCAGGCGGUGCGGUAAGUUGGGCGUGAAAUCUCCCGGCUCAACUGGGAUAGGUCGUUCAAUACUACCGUACUUGAGAGCAGAAGAGGAAAUGGAAUUCCCGGUGUAGUGGUGAAAUGCGUAGAUAUCGGGAGGAACACCAGUGGCGAAGGCGAUUUUCUGGUCUGUUUCUGACGCUCAGACGCGACAGCUAGGGUAGUAAACGGGAUUAGAGACCCCGGUAAUCCUAGCCGUAAACGAUGUGAACUUGGCGUUGGUGGGUUAAACUCCAUCAGUGCCGUAGCAAACGCGAUAAGUUCACCGCCUGGGGACUACGGCCGCAAGGUUAAAAACUCAAAGGAAUUGACGGGGGCCCGCACAAGCAGCGGAGCGUGUGGUUUAAUUCGAUGCUACACGAAGACCUUACCCAGGCUUGACAUACAGGUGGUAGAGAUCCGAAAGGUGACCGACCCGCAAGGGAGCCUGAACAGGUGUUGCAUGGCUGUCGUCAGCUCGUGUCGUGAGAUGUUCGGUUAAGUCCGCUAACGAGCGCAACCCUCGCUGCGUGUUACAAGUGUCACGCAGGACCGCCGGUAUUAAGCCGGAGGAAGGUGGGGAUGACGUCAAGUCAGCAUGGCCUUUAUGCCUGGGGCUACACACACGCUACAAUGGGCAGUACAAUGGGUUGCUAAGCCGCGAGGUGGAGCCAAUCCCCCAAAAACUGUCCUCAGUUCAGAUUGCAGGCUGCAACUCGCCUGCAUGAAGCCGGAGUUGCUAGUAAACGCGCGUCAGCUAUAGUGCGUUGAAUACGUUCUCGGGCCUUGUACACACCGCCCGUCACGUCAUGGGAGCUGGUAACACCUGAAGCCGGUAGCCUAACCGCAAGGAGGGCGCCGUCGAAGGUGGGGCUGGUGACUGGACGAA